rnacentral:rRNA from 1 species
AGUGAACGCUGGCGGUAGGCCUAACACAUGCAAGUCGAACGGCAGCACAGUAAGAGCUUGCUCUUACGGGUGGCGAGUGGCGGACGGGUGAGGAAUACAUCGGAAUCUACUUUUUCGUGGGGGAUAACGUAGGGAAACUUACGCUAACACCGCAUACGACCUACGGGUGAAAGCAGUGGAUCUUCGGACCUUGCGCGAUUGAAUGAGCCGAUGUCGGAUUAGCUAGUUGGCGGGGUAAAGGCCCACCAAGGCGACGAUCCGUAGCUGGUCUGAGAGGAUGAUCAGCCACACUGGAACUGAGACACGGUCCAGACUCCUACGGGAGGCAGCAGUGGGGAAUAUUGGACAAUGGGCGCAAGCCUGAUCCAGCCAUACCGCGUGGGUGAAGAAGGCCUUCGGGUUGUAAAGCCCUUUUGUUGGGAAAGAAAAGCAGCAGGUUAAUACCCCGCUGUUCUGACGGUACCCAAAGAAUAAGCACCGGCUAACUUCGUG